rnacentral:lncRNA from 1 species
AUCCUAUAAGUAUAAAUAAAUCGGUGUUCCAUGACCCGUAAGGUCCCCUUGUUAGAUAUAAAAAAAGAAAAUGUAAAAAUUUUUUAAAUACUUUUAUGUAUGUGCAAAUUCAAUACUUAAUUAAUCUUCUAAAUUAUUUUUCUUAACUUUCAGGGUACGAACUAUAAUAAAGUUACGAUUAGUAUCAACAGCGUAACUCCUUAACUAUUUCGGCUUAUAUCUCCGAAUAAAUUUAAUUGAUUUUAAUGCUUUUUUUUCAAUCGAAAGAAAAAAGAUUCAGAAUUAUAGUAUUGGUUAAAAAGUCGAACAUAUUAAAAGAAAAGAGAUUUUUUGAAAAAUUUGCCUUUUUUUAAACGCCCGUAUUUAUUAGAAAAAAAGAUAAAGCAAUUAAAAUGGUGGUCAAUAGAAAGGUGAAAAGUGAACUUUAAGAAUUUCUGAUCAGAUUUUUUAUUCUGUUCUAAAACUAUAUUUGGCGGUAUGAAAAUGUGAUAUUUUCUGAUAUUUUCCGAUGUCACCACAAUAAGGUGUAACGUGAAAUACUCACAUUUUUUAUACAAAUAAAUUCUUUAAAAUGUUUUAAUUUUUUAUCAUCAAUUUUUUUAAUUUUUAAUUCUCCGCGAAGACGCUACGCUACUAUUUAUUAACCUAUUAAGUCCCAUAGCGAAACAAGUCGCGAUAACGAAAAAAUGUUAACACGGUUCCUAGCAACGCCCUAGCAAUGAUUUUUGCAACAAAAAGUUAGAUGCAAAAAAAUUUUUUUAACAAUUUAUUAUAUAAACAAAUUAACAAAGAAUUAUUUUAUUGUAGAUUAAAAUAAACCACGCCAAUCGAUUUUAUGCAAAAAACCACGACAAAAAUAUAUAUAAUAACUCUAUUUAUUAUAAGAAAAUUUAGAAAUAAUUUUUAAUGCAUAAAUGAGGGUAUUUACAUGACCAUAUUAUACAUGAUUACUUGUUAAUUUGUUUAUAACAAAUUGUUUAAAUAAGUUUUUGCAAUUAACUUUUUGCAAAAAUCAUUGGUAGAAACGCUGCUAAGAACUACGUCAACAUUUUUUUGACAUCGCGACUUGUUUUGCCAUGGGACUUAAUAGAUUAAAAGUAACAAAUAACUGAUAACUUUUUAUUUAUUUAUUUUGCAUUAAACUUUACAAAAAGAAACAAGUUAGAGUUAAAAUCAUUUCUAUGCAAAUUUAAUUUUACCUAAUACUUUAUAACGUUCCGUAUCAACUAUAACGAUAUUUUUUUUAAAUGAUUUGCUCAGUCUUAGAAUAAAACGUUUUCUUUUAUUUUAGUAGUACUGUUUACGAAAUGCAGAGUCUGGCUGCGGCGUCUCGCUGGAAUGGACGUCGCGACACCUUUGAUCUUGUCAUGAAAACACUUAUGUUGAAAUAAUUUGCUUAGUACUGAACUUUUUAAGAUAAUAGUUAAAAUAUGUAAAAAUAUAAAAAAAUGGGUCUGGCUACUAGUAGUGGCUUGGAAAUCGGUCUAGCAGCUUUUUUAAUGUUGUCCGCCCGAACACGCCGGCACGCCGGUAGCUCGUUGUCUAACGGCCCCGAAUAUUAUUUAUUGUUUUUUGUAUAAAAAAAUGUUUUAGUAGAGUCUGGCAUGCAAUUAGCAGUGGAAAACGAGUCUGGCAGUUCUCUCUUCCUAAAGUUGUUGCAAAAACUCGAUGUGUAGAAUUAUUUGCUUAGAGUUGUAACUUUUUAAGAUAAUAGUUAAAAUAUGUAAAAAUAUUUAAAAAAUGGGUCUGGCUACUAGUAGUGGCUUGGAAAUCGGUCUAGCAGCUUUUUUGAUGUUGUCCGCCCGAGCACGCCGGCACGCCGGUAGCUCGUUGCCUAACGGCCCCGAAUAUUAUUUAACACUUUACACAUUAUAAAUGACUUUAUUAAAAGUAAAAUUUAUUGAAGUAACAAUUUUAAUAUAUGAAAUUGUAAAAAAAUUAAUGUGGCUGCUGAUAUUGGCCAAAAAAUCUGUUUGGCAACCUCUUUAACGUUUUAAUUAAUAUUAUUUUUACUUUAAAUUUAUAUUUUUUCUUAUUGUUAUUAAUUUUGUUGAUGUUUGAGAUAUCGCGAAUUAUUUCUUUAUAACAAAGGAACACCACAUAAUUUCGAGAAUUUUCAUGAGCUAGCUAAUCUAGCUAGGCACUCUAUUUUUUGCAUGAUUUUCACAUAUUGCGUGUCUGAGUACACCAAACCCUUCACAAAGCACAGGCCUAUAAAUACAUAUGCAAAGGAAAACAACAGAUUUUAAGUCUGUUUACACUGAAAGAAGAAGAUUUUAUACAUAACGCUUUCAAUAGGUUUUGAAGAUAGUUGUGAAUUAUAAGAAAUAUUUGUCAAGAUUUGUCAUGUCCCGAGCACGAAGAAGCUGAUACUAAAAUAGUUUAUCAUGUUUGUAACAUUAAUUACAAUUCAAAUGUUUUAAUAAGAUGCUCCGAUACAGAUAUUCUUGUUAUUAUGCUAGGAAAUAUGGAUAAUUUGAAAAACGAUAAUAUUAAAAUUUGGAUUGAAGUUGGUGUAUCAAAUGCAUAAAGAUUUAUAAAUGUAAUAGAAUUAUAUAAGUCAUUUGGUAAAAACAUCUGUAAAGCUUUGCCUGGAUUCCAUGCAUUCACUGAGUGCGACUACAAUCCUGCUUUAGAAGAGGAAAAAAGCGACCCUUAAGUAUUUUAUGCAGCUCUGAUAUUUAUCAAAAAGCCUUUGCUUUAGGAAAUAUUGAAAACAACGAUUUAACAAGUAUAUUUCAAAUUUUAGAAGAAUUCACUUGCAGAGUUUACGGAAUAAACAAAAUUAAUACCGUUAAUGAGUCGAGAUACGCAAUGUUUACCAAAGCUUAUUCAUGUAAAGGUACAAAUGAAGUAUCGAAAAUAUGUGCCAAAAAUUUUGAUGCGUCAGUCUGAAUUGAAGCAACAACUUUUAAGAGCAUCAUACAUCGCAAUUGCUUGGGGAAAUGCUCAUUACAGCACAUGACAGAUUUGGUUCCUGUUGAGAACGGCUGGAAAGAAGUUGAUGGAAAGUACGAGUUUACUUGGUUUCAAGGAGAACAGCUACCCAUGUUCGUGAGCGAUAUAUUAUUUGAAUUAAAUGAAAAAGAAAAUAAAGAUGAUGAACGUGCUCAAGCAAAUAAAAUCGUCGAAGAAUUUGAUGACGAUAUCAACAGUACUGAGCUUAGCGAUGUAGAAAAUGACUAUUUAUUGGAUAUUGAAAGUUUAAUUUCAGAUAAUUCAGAUUUUUAAUUAAUACAUUUUUAAUAAACAAAGUUGAUUGAUUUUGUAUAAGUGCAUACUUACAUAAUGUCGAUUACUUUAAAAUACGGUUUUAUUUUUAAACAUUUAUUUUUUGUUUUAUUAUUACAUAACAUGUCAUAAUUACAUAUCAGUUUACUACUAUAAUAUAUAAUAAGCAUAAAAUUGUUGUUUUUCUUUAGACAAGCUCUAAUCUUUUUCAAUAAGUAAUAAUUAAUAAUAUUCAGAGAUACGACGGGCAGUGGGUUGCCGGCGUGCUCGGGCGGACGACAUUUAAGGGCUGCCAGACUCAUUUUUUAAUAAUUUUACAUAUUUCAACUAUUAUCUUGAUAAGUUACAGCUCUAAGCAAAUGAUUCUACAUAUCGACAUUUUACAACAACUUUGGGAAGAUGCCAGACUCAUUUUUCAGUGCCAAUUGCAUGCCAGACUUUAUUAAAACAAUUUUUUAUAUAAAAACCAAUAAAUAUCUAUAAGUUCAGUAGUAAGCAAAUUAUUCCAACGAAGUGUUUUUACAACAAGAUUAGAGGCGUUGCGACGUCCAUUCCAACGCGAUAUGCUAGCCAGACUUAGCAUUUCGUCAACAGUACUACUAAAAUAAGAGAAAACGCUUUAUUCCAAGACUAAGCAAAUCACUGACACUUUUUUGUUGUUACCUUCCGGGCUAUAAGGACACAGUAGUUCCACCAAGCAGUGAACUAAUCAACUAAUGCUUGGAAUCUCAAAAUCCUCUCGCUUUCGACUCCCCUAUUCCUUUGUUUAAAAAUGGCGCUCUUCAAAAUUUGCCGGGGCUAACCUGAGGUUUUUUUGUUAUUCCUGCAUUGCUGCACUAAUGCAAUAAGUAAGAAUGAGAAAAAAUAUAUUUGUCUUAUUUUAACUUAUUGCACCAGUGCAGCAGUGCAGGAAUAAAAAACAAACUUCUAGUUGGUACCCUGUGGAUUAAUUAUCAAACUAUUACAACUGUUAAACUCUUACAUUAACUAUGUUAAUUACGAUACAUCUUGAUGUUCAAUUGUCAAAUAACUGGCAUUUACUCCAGCGACAAGUGAACUAAGCAAAAGAACUAAUCAACAUUGUGGAAAAGACCAAAUUAUCUUUUUAAAAAAGGUAAAAAAAGGCGCCAAGUGUAUAGUUUUUCUUUGGAAAAAAAUCAAAUUCAAGAUAGUAUUAAUGAUCAAAUUCAACCUAAGUGAUAUAUACCUUUAUGAUUAGAAAAAAUUACAUUUAUUUAUGUAUCAAAUGAAUUCAAGAUAAUACUGUUCAUCAAAUUUAAUCAAAAAAUAUAUAUAUGUAUUACAAAAAUCUAAGAUGAUACUUUGGAUAAAAUUCAACCUAAGUAAUACACAUUAACUUCCUCUACAAAAACAAUGACAUUAAAACAUUUUGCGCCAAUUAAAAUAAUGGAUAUUUAUAUGAACUAAAACAUCUACUCUAUUGCUAUUUUUUGGACAGCAUUCAUAAUUAAGAUAUUGACUGCUUUGCGCCUAUACAAGGAUGUAACGAAAAAGAAGAAUAAUGUAAAGCAGACUAAUUAUAAUAAAUAUAUUUUAUUAUAACUAAAUGUUUUAUUUUAAAUAAAUAUUUUUUUAAAAAACUUGGCCGUGUUAAACCCUCCGAAUAAAUAUAUUAAUUGUCAUUAUAUUGAUUUAUCCUUGCUCCUUGUGCGUCAGUUUAGCAGGGCCAAAUUUUUUGAAAAAAUAUUUAUGAUAAAACAUUUAAAAUUAUAGUAAAAUAUUUAUUUGUUUGCUUUAUAUCAUUUUUCGUCUUUAUUAUAUCCUUGUAUAGGCGCAAAGCAGCCAAUAUCUUAAUUAUAUAUGAAUACUGGCCAAAGAAUAGUAACAGAGUAAAUGUUUUAGUUCAUAUAAAUAUCCAUUAUUAUAAUUGGCGCAAAAUGUUUUGACAUCAUUAUUUUUGUAGAGAAAGUUAAUGUGUAUUACUUAGGUUAUUACUUGAAUUUUACCCCAAAUAUCACCUUAGGUUGUUGUGAUAUAUAUUACUUAUAUAUGUAUCAUUUUGGUUGAAUUUGAUGAACAGUAUUAUCUUAGAUGGUAAUUAUUUACAAUAGGUACUUUUCCGAAUUUUGAUAUUUUUUCAUAACUUUUUUGGUAAACAGCUUUGUUGUGACUCCGACAAUGAUAAUCAAUUGGGGGAGCCCGAAAAAAUAGCUUCUGAAAGCUACAUCGAAAAAAAUAGGCGCUUCUGUUUAAAGCAGCCCUAUCAGCAGAACAUUGUGGAAACAAACGAUUGUAGUGACUUCUAUCCCACUCUGGUACGGCAGAGAACGCGUGGGCGGGGUAGGAGCUCCGUUCUUUCUCCUGCACCCUCUCCCCGUAAUUUUUCCUAACCUAACCCAAAUAUUUUAAAGUCGCUAUUUGGUUAAUGCAAAAACAUUGGAAAUGUACAGCAUGGAAAGUCGCAAACCUAUGUGGUAUUGUACAAGCGUGGAUGUCGUUUAUUUUACGUAAGGCACUGAUAUCAUGUAUCGUAUUUAUGAAACGUAAAGUAAACGACGUCUACAUUUGUACAGUACCAUGUACCACAUACGUUUGCGAUUUUCCACGCUGUUUGUUUUCAAUGUUUUUUCAUUAACCAAAUAGGGACUUUAAGGGGCUACAUACACCCAGAGACGUAAACAAUAGGCCUUUUUCUCGAUUUUUUUUUUUAAAACGUAAUGUAUGUAAUCAAUCCUAGUUUUCUUUACUUUAAAAUACAUUCUUAGAACAUGUUUCAGAAUAAAUUUGAACUAAAAAUAUUAAAAAAUGGCGGAGAUAUUGUCCUCGUCGCAAGACCUUGUUAAAAAAAAGUGCUUUGCAGUGCCAAUUGCAGCUCGUACAGAACUUAUCUGAAACAGACCAGCCUAGAAUUUUCUUAAAUUGAAUGAUAUUAUCUAGUCUUUAUCGUGGCCGAUUUUUAAAAUGUCGAUUUUUGGCAAAAUGGCGGCAGUUUAAAAAAAAAGCAAUUUUUUAGGGUAAAAAUUGGUCGUUUUUUUAACAAAAAAAAGUAAGAGCUCUAAAAAAAACCGCCACGAUAAAGACUGCCUUUUUUGUGUAGAUUAAGCCCUCCAAAUUUUAAGUAAAUUGGUCUAGCCGUUUCCGAGAUAUUUUUGGCACGCGUUUUGAAAACGGUUUCGAAAGAAACGCGUUUAAAGUUUGACAUUCGGUUAAAACGUAGAUAAUUUCUUUUCAAACUUACAUAGAGUCAUCCACUCCAGGGCCAUACAGUGAACCCUCCUCAUGUAGCGGCUUCAAAGACUUCGAUUCUAGCUUGCCGGCGUAAUCUUGCGUAAGCUAUCUGCUGCAAAGGAUUAGAAAGCGCUCAUCGCGCCCCAGCAAACGCGCUUGGACCUUUCUUGCUAUAUCUCCGACAAUUUUCAAGGAAUCACUUUGAAACUUGCAAGGGAUAUUCUCAAGACCUUAUACUUUACGAAUAUGCAAAAAACAAAAAA